UAAUACGGAGGGGGCUAGCGUUGUUCGGAAUUACUGGGCGUAAAGCGUGCGUAGGCGGUUUGCUAAGUUGGGCGUGAAAGCCCGGGGCUCAACCCCGGAACUGCGUUCAAAACUGGCAGACUAGAGGCCGGGAGAGGAGAGCGGAAUUCCCAGUGUAGAGGUGAAAUUCGUAGAUAUUGGGAAGAACACCAGUGGCGAAGGCGGCUCUCUGGCCCGGUUCUGACGCUGAGGCACGAAAGCGUGGGGAGCGAACAGGAUUAGAUACCCUGGUAGUCCACGCCGUAAACGAUGAGUGCUAGACGUCGGGGGGCUUGCCCUUCGGUGUCGCAGCUAACGCAUUAAGCACUCCGCCUGGGGAGUACGGCCGCAAGGUUA
rnacentral:rRNA from 1 species